ensembl:lncRNA
UUACCUCGACACCGGUGCCCCCACACAUUGACUCUGUACCGGUACCACCUGUAUAUAGCUCCCACAUUGACUCUGUACCGGGUCCCCCUGUAUAUAGCCCCCACAUUGACUCUGUACCGGUACACCCUGUAUAUAGCCCCCACAUUGACUCUGUACCGGUACCCCCUGUCUAUAGCCCCCACAUUGACUCUGUACCGGUUCCCCCUGUAUAUAGCCUCCACAUUGACUCUGUACCGGUACCCCCUGUAUAUAGCUCCCACAUUGACUCUGUACCAGUACCCCCUGUAUAUAGCCUCCAUAUUGACUCUGUACCAGUACCCCCUGUAUAUAGCCUCCACAUUGACUCUGUACCAGUACCCCCUGUAUAUAGCUUCCACAUUGACUCUGUACCAGUACCCCCUGUAUAUAGCUUCCACAUUGACUCUGUACCAGUACCCCCUGUAUAUAGCCUCCACAUUGACUCUGUACCGGUACCCCCUGUAUAUAGUCUCCACAUUGACUCUGUACCGGUACCCCCUGUAUAUAGCCUCCACAUUGACUCUGUACCGUAAUACCCUGUAUAUAGCCUCCACAUUGACUCUGUACUGGUACCACCUGUAUAUAGUCUCCGCAUUGACUCUGUACCAGUACCCCCUGUAUAUAGCCUCCACAUUGACUCUGUACCGUAAUACCCUGUAUAUAGCCUCCACAUUGACUCUGUACCGGUACCCCCCGUCUAUAGCCCCCACAUUGACUCUGUACCAGUACCCCCUGUAUAUAGUCUCCACAUUGACUCUGUACCAGUACCCCCUGUAUAUAGCCUCCACAUUGACUCUGUACCAGUACCCCCUGUAUAUAGCUCCCACAUUGACUCUGUACCGGUACCCCCUGUAUAUAGCUCCCACAUUGACUCUGUACCAGUACCCCCUGUAUAUAGCCUCCAUAUUGACUCUGUACCAGUACCCCCUGUAUAUAGCCUCCACAUUGACUCUGUACCAGUACCCCCUGUAUAUAGCUUCCACAUUGACUCUGUACCAGUACCCCCUGUAUAUAGCUUCCACAUUGACUCUGUACCAGUACCCCCUGUAUAUAGCCUCCACAUUGACUCUGUACCGGUACCCCCUGUAUAUAGUCUCCACAUUGACUCUGUACCGGUACCCCCUGUAUAUAGCCUCCACAUUGACUCUGUACCGUAAUACCCUGUAUAUAGCCUCCACAUUGACUCUGUACUGGUACCACCUGUAUAUAGUCUCCGCAUUGACUCUGUACCAGUACCCCCUGUAUAUAGCCUCCACAUUGACUCUGUACCGUAAUACCCUGUAUAUAGUCUCCACAUUGACUCUGUACCGGUACCCCCUGUAUAUAGCCUCCACAUUGACUCUGUACCGGUACCCCCUGUAUAUAGUCUCCACAUUGACUCUGUACCGGUACCCCCUGUAUAUAGCCUCCACAUUGACUCUGUACCGUAAUACCCUGUAUAUAGCCUCCACAUUGACUCUGUACUGGUACCACCUGUAUAUAGUCUCCGCAUUGACUCUGUACCAGUACCCCCUGUAUAUAGCCUCCACAUUGACUCUGUACCGUAAUACCCUGUAUAUAGUCUCCACAUUGACUCUGUACCGGUACCCCCUGUAUAUAGCCUCCACAUUGACUCUGUACCGUAAUACCCUGUAUAUAGCCUGCACGUUGACUCUGUACCAGUACCCCCUGUAUAUAGCUCCCACAUUGACUCUGUACCGGUACCCCCUGUAUAUAGCUCCCACAUUGACUCUGUACCAGUACCCCCUGUAUAUAGCCUCCAUAUUGACUCUGAACCGUAAUACCCUGUAUAUAGCCUCCACAUUGACUCUGUACCGGUACCCCCUGUAUAUAGCCUCCACAUUGACUCUGUACCAGUACCCCCGGUACCCCCUGUAUAUAGCCUCCACAUUGACUCUGUACCGUAAUACCCUGUAUAUAGACUCCACAUUGACUCUGUACCGGUACCCCCUGUAUAUAGCCUCCACAUUGACUCUGUACUGGUACCCCCUGUAUAUAGCCUCCACAUUGACUCUGUACUGGUACCACCUGUAUAUAGUCUCUGCAUUGACUCUGUACCAGUACCCCCUGUAUAUAGCCUCCACAUUGACUCUGUACCGUAAUACCCUGUAUAUAGUCUCCACAUUGACUCCGUACCGGUACCCCCUGUAUAUAGCCUCCACAUUGACUCUGUACCGUAAUACCCCGUAUAUAGUCUCCACAUUGACUCUGUACCGGUACCCCCUGUAUAUAGCCUCCACAUUGACUCUGUACCCUAAUACCCUGUAUAUAGCCUCCACAUUGAUUCUGUACCGUAAUACCCUGUACCAGUACCCCUGUAUAUAG